UGGCGAACGGGUGAGUAACACGUGGGUAAUCUGCCCUGCACUCUGGGAUAAGCCUGGGAAACUGGGUCUAAUACUGGAUAUGACCUUUCUCCUUAUGGGGUUUGGUGGAAAGUUUUUCGGUGUAGGAUGAGCCCGCGGCCUAUCAGCUUGUUGGUGGGGUGAUGGCCUACCAAGGCGACGACGGGUAGCCGGCCUGAGAGGAUGAUCGGCCACAUUGGGACUGAGAUACGGCCCAG
rnacentral:rRNA from 1 species